AUUAAACGCUGGCGGCAGGCCUAACACAUGCAAGUCGGACGGUAGCACAGAGGAGCUUGCUCCUCGGGUGACGAGUGGCGGACGGGUGAGUAAUGUCUGGGGAUCUGCCCGAUAGAGGGGGAUAACCACUGGAAACGGUGGCUAAUACCGCAUAACGUCGCAAGACCAAAGAGGGGGACCUUCGGGCCUCUCACUAUCGGAUGAACCCAGAUGGGAUUAGCUAGUAGGCGGGGUAACGGCCCACCUAGGCGACGAUCCCUAGCUGGUCUGAGGGGGUGACCAGCCACACUGGAACUGAGACACGGUCCAGACUCCUACGGGAGGCAGCAGUGGGGAAUAUUGCACAAUGGGCGCAAGCCUGAUGCAGCCAUGCCGCGUGUAUGAAGAAGGCCUUCGGGUUGUAAAGUACUUUCAGCGGGGAGGAAGGCGAUGUGGUUAAUAACCGCGUCGAUUGACGUUACCCGCAGAAGAAGCACCGGCUAACUCCGUGCCAGCCGCCGCCUAA
rnacentral:rRNA from 1 species